rnacentral:rRNA from 1 species
UACGGAAGGCAGCAGUGGGGAAUAUUGCACAAUGGGCGAAAGCCUGAUGCAGCUAUGCCGCGUGUAUGAAGAAGGCCUUAGGGUUGUAAAGUACUUUCAUCGGGGAGGAAAAAACAAAACUAAUAAUUUUAUUUCUUGACGUUACCCGAAAAAGAAGCACCGGCUAACUCCGUGCCAGCAGCCGCGGUAAUACGGAGGGUGCUAGCGUUAAUCAGAAUUACUGGGCGUAAAGAGCACGUAGGUGGUUUUUUUAAGUCAGAUGUGAAAUCCUUGGGCUUAACCUAGGAACUGCAUUUUGAAACUGAAAUACUAGAGUAUCGUAGAGGGAGGUAGAAUUCUAGGUGUAGCGGUGAAAUGCGUAGAUAUCUGGAGGAAUACCUGUGGCGAAAGCGGCCUCCUAAACGAAUACUGACACUGAGGUGCGAAAGCGUGGGGAGCAAACAGGGAUUAGAUACC